AAUAAAAUCAAGUAAUAUUUCAGUUAACCCAUAUUGAAAUAUCUAAAUCUAUAUUCAAUUGUACAGUUGUUCUUAAAUUUCUUCUCUUUGGUAUCAAAAGUAAAAUCCCUUUCAGGUAUGAA